GAUUGAUAUCAUGUUGAUUUCUUUUUUAUUCCAUAAGUUAAAACAUACCCAACAACUUUGGACUUUACGUCUUUCAAUAUUUUUUGAUCAAUCAAACUAUUAUUGGUUCUUCUUGAUAAAUUAUUCCUGCAACUCUCUAAUUCUUUAGGGUUUAUUCAAAUCUUAUGAGAUGGGGAAGAAGAAACAUUUGGAUUGGACCAGCCGAUCGAUCAUUUCUUCUGGAGGUGACAGAGUUCCUCUGAUCAGAAAAGAUGUAAAGAGAAACGAAGAUGAAACCGGGACAUCUAAUAGUCCUGCAACCGAUCUUGAGCAUGGAGAUGCAAUACAGGCAGCAAACGUUGGAUUUUCCAGAGUUCUACUUUUGGCGAAACCUGAUGCAGGGACGCUCGUUAUUGCCACCAUUGCGUUAUUGAUCGCUUCCACCUCGAGCCUGCUAAUUCCGUCUUUUGGCGGGAAGAUUAUUGACAUUGUAUCAAGAGAUAUAAAGUCUCCCGAAGAGCAAACCGAGGCUCUGAAUGCUGUCAAGGAUACUAUACUAGCCGUUGUGUUGGUGGUUGUUGUUGGUUCAUUGUCAACAGCACUCCGAGCAUGGUUGUUUUCUUCGGCUAGUGAACGGGUUGUUGCUCGUUUGAGAAAGCAACUGUUUAGCCACCUUAUGCAGCAGGAAAUAGCCUUCUAUGAUGUUACUCGAACGGGAGAGCUCCUCAGCAGGCUAUCUGAGGACACACAAAUCAUUAAAAAUGCGGCGACUACUAAUCUCUCCGAAGCACUAAGAAACUUGACUACUGCAUUUAUUGGUCUAGGCUUCAUGUUCUCGUCUUCUUGGAAGUUAACACUGCUGGCAUUGGUUGUUGUACCAAUAAUAUCUGUUGCGGUGCGCUAUUUUGGAAGGUAUCUUCGGGAGCUCUCUCAUGCAACACAAGCUGCAGCCGCAGUUGCUGCCUCAAUUGCAGAGGAAUCUUUUGGUGCCAUUAGAACAGUGCGGUCGUUUGCACAAGAAUCUUAUGCAAUUUCAACCUACUCUGAAAAAGUUGAUGAGACGUUAAAACUCGGGCUCCGACAAGCAAGAGUCACGGGUUUAUUCUCUGGUGGUAUGAGUGGAGCAUCAACGUUAUCUGUAAUUACGGUGGUGAUAUAUGGAGCUUAUUUGACCAUAAUAGGCUCCAUGACUGCUGGAUCUCUUACAUCCUUCAUUCUCUACAGCCUCACUGUUGGAUCCUCGAUAUCUUCAUUAUCCGGGCUAUAUACAACCGCCAUGAAAGCUGCAGGUGCAAGUAGGAGAGUUUUUCAGCUUCUAGACCGUGUGUCGAGCAUGGAAAAAGCAGGGGACCAGUGUCCUGUGGGUGAUCCAGAUGGAGAUGUUGAACUAGAUGAUGUUUGGUUUUCGUACCCGUCUCGCCCUAAUCAUAUGGUACUUAAGGGGAUUACUUUGAAACUGAGACCUGGUUCGAAGAUAGCCCUCGUUGGACCAAGUGGUGGAGGAAAGACCACCAUAGCAAAUUUGAUCGAAAGAUUUUAUGAUCCAGUGAAAGGAAAGGUUUUGCUAAAUGGGGUUCCUUUACCUGAAAUAUCGCACGAGUUUCUACACAAAAAGGUGAGUAUCGUGAGCCAGGAGCCUGUUUUGUUCAACUGUUCUAUAGAAGACAACAUUGCAUACGGGUUUGAUGGCAAAGCCAGCAGUUCCGACAUUGAAAAUGUUGCUUUGAAGUGGGAUACAAAAGAAAAUGGCAAACGCCCACGAUUUUGUGUCAUCGUUUCCAGAAAAAUAUCAAACGAUGGUGGGAGAACGCGGGUUGAGGUUAUCCGGAGGUCAGAAACAACGAAUCGCCAUUGCUAGAGCGCUGUUGAUGAAUCCGAGAGUUUUACUAUUGGAUGAAGCCACUAGUGCUUUAGACGCUGAAAGCGAGUAUCUUGUUCAGGAUGCAAUGGACUCGCUUAUGCAAGGAAGAACGGUUCUAGUUAUAGCACAUAGGCUAUCGACUGUGAAGAGUGCAGACACGGUGGCUGUGAUAUCCGACGGUCAAAUUGCAGAAUGUGGAACUCAUGAGGAACUUCUUAACAUGGACGGGAUUUACACCGCACUCGUAAGAAGACAAUUACAAGUUCCUCAAAAUGCCGAAUCAUAGUCUAUAAACUAUUUGAACCCAAUGAAGAUCUGAUACACACACACAUAUGCAAAGACCAUAUGUAUUGAUGGGGAGAAAAUUUGUAUAACAAAGGGAUUUUGUAUAAUAUACUAUUGAAAGAUUCAUCACUUGAUCUACAAACAUGUCCCAAGUUACAGGAUGUCUUUAACUGAUUUUAUAUAACUUAUAUGUUUUUGGACAAGAAGCUGUUGUUGUUUGGUUUA